CGUCCUACGGGGGGCAGCAGUGGGGAAUAUUGCACAAUGGGGGAAACCCUGAUGCAGCGACGCCGCGUGAGCGAUGAAGUAUUUCGGUAUGUAAAGCUCUAUCAGUAGGGAAGAAAAUGACGGUACCUGACUAAGAAGCCCCGGCUAACUACGUGCCAGCAGCCGCGGUAAUACGGAGGAUGCGAGCGUUAUCCGGAUUUAUUGGGUUUAAAGGGUGCGCAGGCGGCGUGUCAAGUCAGCGGUAAAAUGUCGGGGCUCAACCCCGGCCGGCCGUUGAAACUGGCGUGCUCGAGCUGGAGAGAAGU
rnacentral:rRNA from 1 species